rnacentral:lncRNA from 1 species
UUAUCAAGACUAUAAAUAAUAUUAAUCUAAUAAUAAUAGAUAAUAAUCUAAAUUACUAUUUUAUUUUUAUUAAAAAAAAUUAUUUUCAUUCUCUAAUGUUUUAACCUGAUCAAUAACAAUAUAAAACGGUAUUUUUGUUUGAAAAAGGAAUAAACGCAAGUACAAGGUUUCACCUUUUGUUUUGGUAUGUUUUAUCAUUUUCAAGAUGGGGAUUCUCACCUUCCCCAUCGACUUGACUCGAUAAUCAAUUUAUUUUUUAGUUCGAUCCAUGGAUCGAAGUCAAAGGAGACCAUAAAGUAAUAAACUACGAAACGAAAAACCCCGUUGUUACUUAAGUUAAAAAAAGGAAUACUCUAAAUAAAAUAAAU